rnacentral:tRNA from 1 species
GCCUGGCUGGCUCAAUCGGAAGAGCACGUGACUCUUGAUCUUGGGGUCAUGAGUUUGAGCCCCAUGUUGGGUG